UGCAGCAGCAGCAGCCACAGGCUGGGUUUGAAUAUUCUGCCCAGCUGGGUUUGAAUAUUCUGCCCGGCCUCUCUUACUCACACGGUAGGAAAUUGCACCAUAGUUUAGCUACCUCUCAACCCCCAGGUCUGAAUGUGGAAUUCAUAUCUGCUUUCUCACUUCUAGCCUCAAGUAGGAAGUCUCCAGAGACCACAGAAAUCCUUAAAAUGGCUGAAGAGUCCUCAUCAAUGGAGGAAAGCCCUAGGCACUUGGUGUAUUUGAGCUCAUCUGUGGACAGCAACGCUGGUGCACCUGGCCUACAUCUCCCAAGAGUCUCGUGCAGAUUGGAACAGGAGCACAGCACUCUGUGAAGGAGGCCAGAGACACAUUUUCACAUGACCCAGCAUUUGCCAUUCUGGAUCCCAGAACAUGAGCUCUGUCUCUCUGCAGAGGUGUGUGCUGUGGUACUCUGCCAUGCCAGGGACAGUAUAGAGGUUGUAACAUGGGGCUUCUGUAAGAACUGUGCUGCUGGCUCUUCAUCUGCACCUUCUGAGAUAUGGAGGCUGUGGGCUGGUGUUUCCUCAACAGCCUCAGGCAACCCAGCACAGGGUCACAGUGCUGGUAUAUUUGCCUUUAGUGCCACAGAGGAUGUCCCAUCGCCUUGCUUCAGAGCAUCCUCUUAAUCAUUCACAUUUGGAUGCAUUUGUCAUUAUGCUAGCUUGCACAUAAGGAAAGGAGUUAAAUUUAGACAUGUGUCAAGCUGCUGUCUUCUUGCAAUUGGAAAACAAGCAAACAUACUAAUUUACAAAUUUAUCUCCAGGCUUUGAAUUGACAUUGAACUUUUUGGGAAGGAGACAGAAAAACAAGAAUUCAUCUGUGUGCAAAUGUCAGGUUGAUUCUGAGAUGAAUCACUUCAAAUAAUAACAGUUUUAAGACUCAUUCUUUUAAUUUUUAGAUCCUUAAAGUUUACAAUCCCCUGUAACUAAUUUAAGCAUUUUGGAUGCAGGUUACUUUUAAAUCUGUGCUUAGCCAAAAUCAUAUAUUCACCACUGACUUCUUUUACUUAGCUGACUGAACAGCCACAAAAGCAGGUAGAUGUAAGCAUGGGAGUCAGAUCAGAAGAUACAGAGCUUUAAGCAGAAAGUGUGCAAUGGCCUGAUGCAAGAAAUACAUAGGAG
ensembl:lncRNA